GACGAACGCUGGCGGCGUGCCUAAUACAUGCAAGUCGAGCGGGCCUCCGGAGGUGCUGCACCUCCGGAAGGCCAGCGGCGGACGGGUGAGUAACACGUGGGCAACCUGCCUUUGAGGCCGGGAUAACACCGGGAAACCGGUGCUAAUACCGGAUACGUCCUCUUUCGCGCCUGCGAGAGGGGAGACAGACGGUAUUUAAGGCCGUCGCUCAAAGAGGGGCCCGCGGCGCAUUAGCUGGUUGGUGGGGUAAGGGCCUACCAAGGCGACGAUGCGUUGCCGACCUGAGAGGGUGAUCGGCCACACUGGGACUGAGACACGGCCCAGACUCCUGCGGGAGGCAGCAGUAGGGAAUCAUCCGCAAUGGGCGAAAGCCUGACGGUGCAACGCCGCGUGAGUGAGGAAGGUUUUCGGAUCGUAAAGCUCUGUUGUGAGGGAAGAACAGCUUCCGGAGGAAAUGCCGGAGGUUUGCCGGUACCUCACCAGAAAGCCCCGGCUAACUACGUGCCAGCAGCCGCGGUAACAC
rnacentral:rRNA from 1 species